UGAUCAGCCAUGCCGCGUGUGUGAUGAAGCUCUAGGGUUGUAAAGCACUUUCAGUAGGGAGGAAGGCCACAGGCUUAAUAGUCUUUGGAUUGACGUUUCCUACACAAGCAGCACCGGCUAACUCCGUGCCAGCACCCGCGGUAAUACGGAGGGUGCAAACGUUAAUCGGAAUUACUGGGCGUAAAGCGCGCGUAAGCGGUUUGUUAAAUGUGAUGUGAAAGCCCAGGGCUCAACCUUGGAACUGCAUCACAUACUGGCAGGCUAAAGUACGGGAAAGGGGGGUAGAAUUCCACGUGUACCGAUAAAAUGCGUAGAAAUGUGGAGGAAUACCAGUGUCGAAGGCGGCCCCCUGAAUCGAUACUGACACUGAGGAGCGAAAACGUGGGGAGCAAACACGAUUAAAUACCCUGGUAAUCCAAUCCGUAAACGAUGUCAACUAGCCGUUGGGAGGGUAAUCCUUUUAGUGGCGCAGCUAACGCUCUAAGUUGACCGCCUGGGGAGUACGGUCGCAAGAUUAAAAAC
rnacentral:rRNA from 1 species